rnacentral:lncRNA from 1 species
UGUUUUCUCAAUUCUCCUAUAGACAAAUAUUCAUUGUCUUUAAAUAAAAAUGGACUUCCCCUUUGCCCUGCUACUCUUUUUUCCCUUACCCUGAUUUAUUUUCCUUUAUAAUGCUUAUUGCUACCUGACAUUAUUAUGUUUUUUUUUUGAGAAUGGGAUCUUGCUAUGUUGCCCAGGCAGGUCUCAAACUCCUGGGCUCAAGCUAUUCUCCCGCCUCUGCCUCCCUAAAUGAUGGGAUUCCAGGCAUGAGCUACCACACCUGGCCUUCCAUGACAUCUUGUUCAACAACUCAUGCAAGACCUGAGAGAGUGUUAUGCAGGAGGAUGGGGUGAUAUGCCAGUGGGGACUGCUGGCAGACGUGCUUCAAAUGAAUUCUUGGUGUGUGGAGGGCAGUGUCAGCCUACUGUGUCACCUCACAGCGAAACAGCACCAAUUCCAGUUCCUACUCAAAUAAGGAAUUAUCAGCGCAUAGAGCAGAAUCUUACAUCUACUG